rnacentral:lncRNA from 1 species
GGAAGGUUUAUAAUGGAAGGGGGUGUUUGGAUACCACUGCUAAAGUUUAGAACCUGUCAUAUCGGAUAUUUGGAUACAAAUUAGGAGUAUUACAUAUAGGCUAAUUAUAAAACUAAUUGCACAGAUGGAGUCUAAUUCGCGAGACAAAUCUAUUAAGCCUAAUUAGUCCAUGAUUUGACAAUGUGGUGCUACAGUAACUAUUUGCUAAUGAUGGAUUAAUUAAGCUUAUAGAUUCGUCUCGCGAAUUAGCUCGGGGUUCUGCAAUUAGUUUUAUAAUUAACUGGACUAAAUUAGCACCCAAACAUCCGAUGUGACACUGCUAAAGUUUAGCACCUAGUAUCCAAACAUCCCAAAGAAGAUGAGUGGGCUCAUUCUC